rnacentral:rRNA from 1 species
CUGUUGCUUGCAACAGCGAAUUGUAGUCUCGAGAAGCGUUUUCCCGGCGGAUCGGUCUCACCUAAGUUGCUUGGAACAGCACAUCAGAGAGGGUGACAAUCCCGUUCGAGGUGAGGUCGGCCGUCCACGAUGCGCUUUCUAUGAGUCGGGUUGCUUGGGAAUGCAGCCCAAAAUGGGUGGUAAACUCCAUCUAAAGCUAAAUAUUGCCACGAGACCGAUAGCGAACAAGUACCGUGAGGGAAAGAUGAAAAGAACUUUGAAAAGAGAGUUAAAAAGUACGUGAAACCGUUAGAAAGGAAACAGAUGGAGUUAGCAAUGCUUUGACGAGAUUCAGAUGUGCUUCGUCUCGUACGGGCAGUGUGCGGAUCUGAAUGGACCGUCGGUGUUCGGCUCGAGACUUUGGACGUCGCAUUUCUUGUCAGAGCGCGUCAACACCUGUUAGCUCCGAGUGAUAAGCCCUCGAGAAAGGUAGGUAUGGUUCGCCGUACUGUUAUAGUCUCGAGUGUGCCAACUUGGAACUGACAGAGGAUCGCGGUACAUGCUCUUCUGGGCUGGUGUUCCGCUCUUGGUCAGCUGUCGACCAUGGUGGACUGCUUGCAGUGCACUUGAACUGCUGUUGGCCAUCGAGUGGGUCUACACACACGAUGUACCAAGGUUGUUGGCGGCAAUAUGGCUUCAUUUGACCCGUCUUGAAACACGGACCAAGGAGUCUAACAUGUGUGCAAGUCUUAGGGUGACUGAAACCCGGAGGCACAAUGAAAGUAAAGGCUGCCUAGCAGCUGAGGUGAGAUCUGUCGGAUUCGUUCCGACAGCGCAUCAUCGACCGACCUAUUCUACUCCUAGAAAGGUUUGAGUAUGAGCACAUUUGUUGGGACCCGAAAGAUGGUGAACUAUGCCUGAGUAGGGUGAAGCCAGAGGAAACUCUGGUGGAAGCUCGUAGCGAUUCUGACGUGCAAAUCGAUCGUCAAACUUGGGUAUAGGGGCGAAAGACUAAUCGAACCAUCUA